rnacentral:rRNA from 1 species
UAAGACAGAGGUGGCAAGCGUUGUUCGGAUUUACUGGGCUUAAAGGGCGUGUAGGCGUCCUGAUAAGUCAGAUGUGGAAGCCUUGGGCUUAACUCAAGAAUUGCAUUUGAAACUGUCAGGAUUGAGUCGUGCAUGGGAGGGCGGAAUUCCUGGUGUAGCAGUGAAAUGCGUAGAUAUCAGGAGGAAGGCCGGUGGUGAAGAUGGCCCUCUAGGCAAUGACUGACGCUGAGGCGCGAAAGCGUGGGGAGCAAACAGGAUUAGAUACCCUGGUAGUCCACGCCCUAAACGGUGGGUACUAGGUGUGGGUGGCGAUAGUCAUCCGUGCCGAAGGGAAACCAUUAAGUACCCCGCCUGGGGAGUACGGCCGCAAGGUUGAAACUUAAAUGAAUUGACGG